UAUGAAGUUUUAUUAAAAGAAAAAGGGGUGAAAAGAACAAAGUUUUGUCCAUCUUUGUUCAUCAUAGCUGAAAGUUAGAGAAGAGAAAGGAGAGGAGAAAGCUCUUGAGUAUUCGGUCAUUAGGAGGAGGAAAAUUGAAGGUAAGUUCUUGAUACCUUGCUUCUAUUUUGAGGUUCAUGAGUUCUUCUUGAUUCUACCUUAACUCUUGAAGUAUAUUUUGAUUUUUAGUUGUGUUGUGAGCAUUUAGUCAUGAAUUAAAAUGAAGGAAAUGGAUGUUGUUUCAUGCUCUUUUGAUGAAAAAUGGAAGAUAGGUGAAGUUGAGCCAAACAAAUGAGCAUGCAUGUGCCUUAGAUGUUAAAGGGAAAAAUCAGCUAACAUGUUGUGCUUUAAAAUGAUGAAAUGGAGAUUAUACUUAAGUAAAAUCAUAGAUAUGUGAUGAUUGAUUGGUGAUAUACAUGUUUAAAUAACAUGCAUGCAAGGUAUGUGUGAAAGAGUGAUUUGGUAAUAAAUCUGCUUGGGACAGCAGCAGUAACGUGAAUUUGGAAAAUCACCAUAAAUUGUGGGAGAAGAAUUAGAAGCUGAAUAAAUUAUGUAAUUAAAGCUUAAUGAGUCUAGUUUCAAAUGAAAUAAACGAGAAUAUAUUUUGAAUUCUGUAUAAUGAGAAAUUUGAUUUGAAAUGAAGAGUGGUCAGAUUAGUCAAACAGUGAAACAUGGGAAACUUUAAGAAAAAUAUGGUAUUGAUUGGCCAUACCAAAAAUUCUGAAAAUUUUAUGGAUAGAAGAUAUAUGAGUCUAUUUUCAGGGAAAAUUAACGGAACUUGAUUUGGAGUUUCGUUGCUCCAGUUAUAAAUAACUUAGUGACUGUUGCUCAGGAAGAUAGUUUGCAGUGAAAUUAUGAUUAUGUGGUAAACAUUGACAAAAAUUUGUUAAUGAGUUGCUUAUUAUUUUCUUAUAAGCUUACUAUGAUCUGUAGGUUUGGUUGGUCGAAUAUUGUAAGGGGUUAAUACGUAGUUCGUAUUUGAAUAGUUAGAUUAAUGUGUUAGUAAUCCAAUUGUAGGCAGUUCGUCUGUGGAUCUCGUCAGCAUAUCGUCGCAAACAGGUGUGUAACUAACACCCUCUUUCUUAGUCUGGAUCGGAAAAAGUCGAAAAGCCAAAAUACCGAAAACUGGUAUUUUGUAGAUUUGCGAGUGUGCGAAUGCUCGUGAGGUAAAUUGAUUAAUGUUUAUGGUAAGCUGUAAAAUUUGGACUGCAAAGUGCAUGAUUUUUGUGCCCUCGAUAUUUUUGGGCUUAAUGGGCCAAAAUUGGAAUGAUGGGCCAACGGGCCCAAUUCGGUAAGAACCCUCGGUACGUGAUUCUGUUAGUACGUGAAAAGUAGGAAUAUGCAUGAAAAACCCUAAAAUAGAUAAAUUACUAAAAUACCUUUAAAAGUGGAAAAUUUACAAUUUUACCCCUAGUAGAUAAAUUACUGAAAUACCCCUAGGGUUAAAUUGACCUAAAUGCAUGUUUGACUGUUGUUAUUUACUGCAUGCCAUGUUGUUAUUAUCUGAUGCAUGGGACUGGGAUAUUGACGGAGGAAGUACUGAAAGUGGCUUGUCCACGUACUGGAGGCUUUGCCUCAAUUUACUAUUAACUGAGCAGCAAGGCUGCAACUGUGGAGUGUUGGGCUGGGUGGGUUGAGCUAUUCCCCACAUGGAGUGUAUGGCUGGUACGGGUGGAGUGUAGUGGUUGGUGGGUUGAGUAGUCUCCCCAAAUGAGCUUGCAUAUGUUAUUGAUGUUGCAUGUAUUUUGAAAUGGGCCUCUGGGCCAUACUGUUAUCUGAAUAAGGGGCUAAGGCCCAGUUUAUUGUAAUCUGAAAAGGGCUUUGGCCCAGUACCACUGUUACCUGAAUGGGCUUAGGCCCAAUGGGCUUGAGCUGACUUGGGCUUUGAAUGGGUUUUCCUUACACACUGAGUUUCCCCAAACUCACCCCUUUUAUUUUCAUCCACGCAGGAAAUCCCCAACCAUAGUGGGCUUGGAGCUGUGAGGGAAUUCGGAGUGGCCACCCGUUCUGAAAGUUUGAUUUUCUUCUAGUGAACUGGACAUCCUUUUAUUUACGUUUGAAGUUUUGGGUUUUUAAAUGUAAUAAGGCCGCUUAAUUAUUUUUAAUGGUUUUAAUAUGUAUUAAUAAGAUAAGGUAUUACUUAUUUUAA
rnacentral:lncRNA from 1 species